rnacentral:lncRNA from 1 species
ACCCAGUGCCCCCAGCAUAUCAGCAGGUGCCACCACAGGACCCCCCAGUCUAUCCCCAGCUGGGUCCAGUCCCCCUCCACGGGACCCCACUCCUUCCUUGAUCGACCCGGGCUACAUAGAGAGGUACAGGAGACUGAACCCCUCCACCUUUGCAGGGGGAUCCUCUUUUGAAGAGGCCCAGUACUAGCUGGCGAAGACUGAGAGAGCUUUCAGGAUCUUGGGAGUAGUUCCUGAGCAGAGAGCUGCCCUUGCUUCCUACAUGCUGGUAGGGGAAGCAGGACGUUGGUGGGAGCUCAAGCAGACCACCCUGCCUACACCAGUCACUUGGGAGUAGUUCCUAGCGGCCUUCCAUGCGGAGUAUCUCCCUGAGCACAUCCAACACCUAAAGAAAACGGAGUUUGUUCAACUGGUUCAGG